CUCUGUGACUGGCUUGCUUGAUGGUUAGGGUCUGAUCGCUGCCUGAGACACCAUAUCGGUACUCCUCAGAGUUGGUGGCUGCCAUGAGAUAGUCAUGUGUUCAGGAGUAACAUCCAGAAUAUUAAUAGGACCUGUUGGUGGCCCAGGAACAUCAAGAACAGUAAGAUGUACGGCUACUGUUUUGCUACCGGCUGCAUUGGAAACUGUGAUUUGAUAUUCCCCAGUGUCUCUCCUUAAGCAGUUCUUAAUGAGAAUAGACGCCUUGAUGGCUCCUCUGGCAGUUCUUGAUGACCAUGGAUGAGCUAAUGGCUGUGGUCUCAAUGGUGGCUUCUUGAGAUGGUAUUGCCUCUGAAUUUGCUGAUUCAGAAGAUGUCGGACUCAUGUUAUCCUAUAGAAGAUGUAACAACCCAUAUACAUUUAUGAAAACCAGGAACUACAUUAUUAUAAUGAUGAAGGAAAAGCCCAAGAAAUCAACCAACCUGAAACCUGCAAUGAAGCUGUGCAGCUGUCUUUGCCAACAGGGUUCUGCACCUCAAAACUGUAUACCCCACUGUCACUCGGUGCUACAUUGA
rnacentral:antisense_RNA from 1 species